rnacentral:rRNA from 1 species
GACGAACGCUGGCGGCGUGCUUAACACAUGCAAGUCGAACGGAAAGGCCCUGCUUUUGUGGGGUGCUCGAGUGGCGAACGGGUGAGUAACACGUGAGUAACCUGCCCUUGACUUUGGGAUAACUUCAGUAAACUGGGGCUAAUACCGGAUAGGAGCUCCUGCUGCAUGGUGGGGGUUGGAAAGUUUCGGCGGUUGGGGAUGGACUCGCGGCUUAUCAGCUUGUUGGUGGGGUAGUGGCUUACCAAGGCUUUGACGGGUAGCCGGCCUGAGAGGGUGACCGGCCACAUUGGGACUGAGAUACGGCCCAGACUCCUACGGGAGGCAGCAGUGGGGAAUAUUGCACAAUGGGCGGAAGCCUGAUGCAGCAACGCCGCGUGCGGGAUGACGGCCUUCGGGUUGUAAACCGCUUUCGCCUGUGACGAAGCGUGAGUGACGGUAAUGGGUAAAGAAGCACCGGCUAACUACGUG